GAUGAACGCUGGCGGCGUGCCUAACACAUGCAAGUCGAGCGAUUCUCUUCGGAGAAGAGCGGCGGACGGGUGAGUAACGCGUGGGUAACCUGCCCUGUACACACGGAUAACAUACCGAAAGGUAUGCUAAUACGAGAUAAUAUACUUUUAUCGCAUGGUAGAAGUAUCAAAGCUCCGGCGGUACAGGAUGGACCCGCGUCUGAUUAGCUAGUUGGUAAGGUAACGGCUUACCAAGGCGACGAUCAGUAGCCGACCUGAGAGGGUGAUCGGCCACAUUGGAACUGCGACACGAUCCAAACUCCUACGGGAGGCAGCAGUGGGGAAUAUUGCAAAAUGGGCGAAAGCCUGGUGCAGCAAAGCCGCGUGAGCGAUGAAGGCCUUCGGGUCGUAAAGCUCUGUCCUCAAGGAAGAUAAUGACGGUACUUGAGGAGGAAGCCCCGGCUAACUACGUGCCAGCCGCCGCGGUAA
rnacentral:rRNA from 1 species